rnacentral:siRNA from 1 species
UAAAUUUGCCACCUCACUUA